CAGUGGUACAGCCGGCGGUGCA
rnacentral:siRNA from 1 species